UUGAGUUGAGUUAUACAAAUAAACAAAAAUAUGUGCUUCAAAAUCUUACUUUAAAAUCAUUUUUGCUAUGAACAGUAAUAGCUACACUAUAAUACAUACAUGAUUCAAAAUCCAAAGUUAGUAAAAAUGGUAAAACAUAAAGAGUUGAACGAACUGUGCCGAUUAUGCUUGAAAAAAUCCGACUCCUUGGAAGGAAUAUUCAGGGGAAAUGAUAAUCCAAUGGUUCUGCGGAUAAUGGCAAGUGUUUCUUUGGAGGUUCACCAAAACGACAGCUUGCCCAAGAAUAUCUGUUCCCCGUGUCGGUAUCAGCUUGAAAAGACCUAUGUUUUCCGCAGCAAAUGCCGUGAGAACGAUAUCAAGCUGAAGCGCCACAUUAAGCUGCUUGCGGCAGGAAAAGAUAGUUCUCUUGGGGAUGAUCUGGAUGACGACGAGAAUGAGUUCGAAUCUAGUCUGCAGUACAUAAAAAUGGUCGACAUGAGAAGAGAAAAGGAGAAGCAAAAGGAAUGGAUGGCUAGAGAAGCGGCAUUAAAAAGUGAAUUCCAGGCCUCAAUAGAUUUAGAAAGAAAAGCAGUUUUCCAAGCUGCGCGACAGGAAUAUGCUAAUCGUCGGAACCAUAUGCAGGAUGCCUGCACGAAUACUGACGAGUUGGAUGGCACUAUAAUGUCUGCUAGUAUUGCAUAUGAAGAGGAAGUAAUUCACACGCAAUACAUACCGGAAGAUGAAAACAUGAAUCACAAUACAGCAGACUUGAAGGAUAUAGAACCUGAAUCAUCGCAAGAUUGCAAACAAGAGAAUUUAAAUGUCGUAGAUAGUGACAUACAUGAUCAGCAGAAUGACAUGAUCCAAUAUCUUGAUCAUGAAGACAUGAUGGAGUCUGAGGAAAUCGAAGAAGACACCAGCAAACAAACUAUUUCCGUAAUAAACGAUGAAUUGCAGACCGAUUUUGCAAGAAGUGUUUCACCAAAGGAGUUGCCGAACUCGGAUCGUUUUGUUAUUACAGAGGUUUCCGAUGCGGGUUCAUAUGUACUCGAGGACGAACUGGAGCGCGAAGAACAAAACCUCUACGGACCAUUAGAUGACUCUGACGAAGACUUGGAAGCUGUCACAAAUGCUGUCAAAGCCGAGCUGGCUGAGCAACCGGGUUUUAACGUUGGAGAAAAUUGCAUCAUGAGGGUAGAAAGGGUUCGAGAUUUGACAAAAGUUGAAGUACGUGCUGACGAUGGUUCUAUCAUAUGCAUGGAGUUUAGUACGGAACCGAAGCAAAAACCCGCUUCGCCAGCUAAAACUCUCGAAGCACAAUUAAUAGGAAUAUUGAAAUGUUCAUAUUGUAAGAAAGCAUUUCGUUCCCGCGAAUUACUGCGAGAACACAACGAAUCAGAACACCCAAACAUGCCCAAGGGACACUGCUGCGAUAUAUGUGACAAGUGGUGUCCAACGAAGAGUUCUUUCGAAAGACAUUUUCGAAUUCACACAGGAGAAAAGCCGUUUAUUUGUGGCGAAUGCGGUAGAGGCUUUGUUCAGAAGGAAAUUCUGAAGCGACACAUGCUGAUCCAUACAAACGAUCGGCCUUUCAUCUGUGACCACUGUCCGAAACGCUUUAAUCAAAAGGACCAGCUACGGCAUCACAUCAAUAAUUGUCACACAACGAAUCCAGUCAUCACUAUCCAUAAGUGCACUUUGUGCUCGAAAGAGUUUAAAUAUUCUUCGGGGCUCAGUCGGCAUUUAGCGAUGCAUUAUGGGCGUACUUUUUCCUGUGCCUGCGGUCGCGUAUUUAACGACAAAAGUGCUCUCAAUCGGCACGAAAUGACGCUGCAUCGGAAAACUAACAAAGAUAGUAAGAAAAAGGCUUAAAACGUUUAUGCAGUUUAAGCAAUAAUAUUCUUGAACGUAUUCUACAUUUGGACGGAUUAAAAACGACAGUUCAACGAAGUGGAAGUCGGAUUCGAAGCUUCGGAAUAUUAAUUUAAAUAUUUUGUUCAAAAUUUUGAGAGCACUACGAACCGCAAGUGUUAUUUCAGAUCAUAAUUAACUAUUAUGUGAGGUAACAUGUCAGGGAUGCACAUUUGUAUCUUGAAAGACGCCACUAAUAAAGAAGCAUAGACUAAAAGGAGUCAGAAUUUCAAAUAUGUUCAUUUGUUGUACCUUCACCAACACACCUCUUGGUCCCCAAAGGUGGGUUCUUAAACUAAUUACAUUUAAGGAUAGACAAUAUUUAAUUCUAAUCGAAUUCUUCAUCAGAUUCAGAAGCUCUCGCCACACUGUUAAAAAUACGCGGAAGUCCGGUAACAGUGCUUUGACGACCAUAGUUGGUUCUCUCGAACGGUAAUCCCAGGUGAAAUUUAUUGCGUAGGGCUCGAACGCGGGCUUGAAGAUGCAGGUGUCCGAGGAUUGUAGAGUAAUCCACCCUGGCAGACAGUAAGUCCGAGACGGACCGGGCGCGAGAGUGACCCCUCCGAAUACCGAGAGUGUUGAGCUGUAUUAACUGACAACGGUUUUCGUAGCUCGGCAGCUCAAAUAUUUUUCGCCAAGGAAUAUAUCGGAGUGCAAAGUGUAUAAACCGGCAUUGCACAGCCUCGAUUCUGUCAACGUCGUUCUGGUAGUACGGAUUCCAAACAACAGAACAAUAUUCUAGUGUUGAACGAACCAAUGCGCAAUAAAGCGAUUUUAGACAGUAUCCGUCCCUAGAGUGUUUCGCUAUUCGGAAGAUGGACCCAAGCUGUCUUGAUGCCUUAUCUACGAUGUAUUAAGUAUGUGGUUUGAACAGGGGCGAACAUUGUGUACUUAAUAAGUAAAAACGUCAUUUAAUGGAAAUAGUAUUGUUGGUCAAAUUUGGUUUAAAAAGAUUUUGUGUUUGAAACUAUUAUAAAAUUCAAACUAAUUUGAAAUUUUUCAACAAUUUGAAAAUUUUCGGAAGGGGUCCGGACCCCCAGGACCCUUCCACUGGAUCCGCCACUAGGUUUGAACGUUAGUGUCGAAUCCAUGAUGACUCCAAGAUCCUUGACGAGAGAGUGUCGGGGAAUGCUCGAGUUAACAAAUAGUAGUUAAACUAAAUCGAUUCGCGUUUCCGCGUAAACGUGACAUUUGGACAUUUACUCGGGUAUAAGGUUCAACUGAGAACGCUUCAAUAAGCGGCCAUCUUGGAAAACGAAAAAACACUUGUUUCUCACACAAAAAUCUUCUUAAAAAUUAAUCAGCGUAUUCGGGGCAUCAGUAGAGUAUUAUUGAUCGAUUCUCAUGAAGAUUUUUCCAAUGGUGGGAGAAAAAACUGCUUUUUCGUUUUCCAAGAUGUCCCCUUUUUAAGCUCUCAGUUGAACCACUGAUCACUGACAUACAAGUAAAGUUUUCAACUUGUGUAAGCAAUAAAACUGUCGGUUUGAAAUGACAACAGCAAGUAGCAACUUGCCACUGGCUGGCGUUUGGAUCAGCCAGCGAUCGCUAUACAGGACUUGUACAUUGCUUCGGCUACCUUCGAGAGAGAUAGACGUGUUUUCUGCUAUCGUCUGCUCGUUGUGAGUUUGGUUCGUGGUACGUUGCCCUUUCGGGACAGUUUUGAGCGGUAGUGGUGUUGGCAUCACGUUGGUUUUCUGCCG